rnacentral:misc_RNA from 1 species
GUAGGUGAACCUGCGGAAGGAUCAUUAACACGUAUCCACGUAUCAACCAAACGGUAACUGUUCCUCCCUAAUAAUGGCUAAACUGAGCUGUUCGAAUCCGGUGGGUAUGCACUCGUGCAUACGAUUCGGCUGCUCUGGGGCUUCUAGCCCAAGGUUUGGCGGGUUAUUAGGCUUUUUUUCCCACCGGACCUUUCUACCAAGGCACGGUGGGAUGUAACAAACCAAUUUCACCCAACUUAACAACAUUUGACUAAUACUAUUCACUUGGAGAAAUCCAAGCCUGAAUUGAGUUAUCUUAACUAAGCACAACUCUUAGCAAUGGAUAUCUUGGUUCUC